rnacentral:misc_RNA from 1 species
CCGAUGGUAGUGUGGGGUC